rnacentral:rRNA from 1 species
CCCUUAGAUGUUCUGGGCCGCACGCGUGCUACACUGACGAAUGCAACGAGCUUAUAACCUUGUCCGAAAGGUCUGGGUAAUCUCCAAAUUUCGUCGUGAUGGGGAUAGAUUAUUGCAAUUAUUAAUCUUCAACGAGGAAUGCCUAGUAAGCGCAAGUCAUCAGCUUGCGUUGAUUACGUCCCUGCCCUUUGUACACACCGCCCGUCGCUCCUACCGAUUGAAUGGUCCGGUGAAGCGUUCGGACCGUGGCCUUUGGACGGUUCGCCGUCUGUUGGCUGCGGGAAGUUCGUUAAACCUUAUCAUUUAGAGGAAGGAGAANUCGUANCA